UCGUCUUCGAAUGUGAGAAAUAGAUACCUAUGUAUUGUUGCAAAAAGCAAAAACUUGUUGGAAAUCAGCAUAGCAUACACUACUGCUCACUGAAGGAGAUAGAAACUGCUUUUUAAGAAGGAGUCGUCUGUCGUCUUAUAAUAAGAAGUGUGUUUUAAGAUUUUUUAAUAACUUGACUAGGUACCAUAUUUAAAAUAUCUUAAAUAACUUUUUAUUUUUUAUUUUAUUGGUGCAAAUUGUGAAAGUGGAGUGUUGUGCAUCCGGAAAUUUUUUAUUUGUCAACUUGCGAUUUAUGAAGUGAAGUGAAGUGAAGUGAAGUGAAGUGAAGUGUUUGUGUCCGGAUUUUUUUUUUUAGUAGACUUUCAAUUCAACAUUUCGAGUGGAGAUUUCUUGAAACUUCGUUGCAAUUCUCACCAGGAUGUCGCAGGAACGGUGUACAUAUCGAAAUGGCCAAUGCGACCUAUCCGGUUGUUAUUCUAAUAAAGUUGAUUUCCCCAGAAUUCAGUUGUGUCAUGCGGAAAACAAGCUAUUACAGAUAGCAAAGGAUCCUGUGUAAGAGCAUUCGAAAGCAGAGCAGAAAAACCUGUCAAUAACUGCCCUGGAGAAAGAUCUUACAUUACCAAUCGACAAAAUAUGGCUCAGUUCACCAAUUUUGAGGCAAAAACUCAAGGCAGAUACAACCAUGCAUCCAAAACUUGAACAGUAUAUCGAAAUGGCCAAUGCGACCUAUCCGGUUGUUAUUCUAAUAAGGUUUAUUUCCCCAGAAUUCAGUUGUGUCAUGCGGAAAAAGGAUCUGUUGGAAAACAAGCAAUUACAGAUAGCAAAGAUUUGUCAGAGAUUUCGGAUGAAGAAGACAAAUUAAACCAGAGUUGAAAGAACCGUAAAAGAACAGAACAAAAAAAGAAGGGUGCAUUUUUUGUAGAACAAGAACAAAAACAGAAAAAACUCCACUGUUCUUUCACCUGAGUGGUUCUUUAUCAGUUAUUUGUUAUUGUUCUAUCAUUUUUUUCAAAAUACUUACAUCCACUCACCAGACACCCUGUAUAUAACUUUUUUUUGAAUUUUCAAUUUAAUUCAAAAGCUGCGAACUUUUGGAUCAUGUUGAUAGUCGUCGUUCGUAGGAAAUAGGAAUGGUGGAGGCCUUGUGAAAUCAGUUCAGUCGUUUUCUAGGUAAUGAGUUUUAAAAAAUUUGAAAAAAUUUUGUCAACUGAUAAACUGGGAAGCUUUGAGCUUUUGUAACAUGAUUUCAAAUUUGAUCAAAAUCGCUUCAAAGGUUACUGAGAAAAAUUGAAUUUUAAAUGAAUUUUUGUGCCAAAAGUGAAAAAUGUUUUUAAAAAUGUUGUUGCUCUGUAAACUUGGCAGCUUUGAAAUUUUGAAAGAUGAUGAUGAUGAUGACAAAAUGACAAAAAAUUUAACCUUAUGUUCUCAAAGUAAUGUAAUAUUAAGUAUUUGUAUAAAUGAAUGAAUAAGUAAAUUGAGAUAAUUUAUUGAAAAAAUCAUACGCAUCGAAAUCAUAGAAAUUACGUGGGAAUUUUAAACAUUUUUUAGGAAAUAUGUUUCGAACAUUUAUGGAAAAUUUUUAAUUUAAAAUUAAGUCAUGAUUUUGAGGUACCUAAUUAAUCGAGAAAACGUCACGUGCCCAAUCAAAAUGCUGUGAAAUUAUACAAGGAAUUCAAAUAUUUCAAUCAUAAUAAUUAAAUGGGAAAUAUUUUAGGGGAAAAUGAAACAUGCAAGAGCUCUAAGUUCAUUUCUAAUUCAUUCAAGUCUUAAAAACCCCCCAAAAAUUGGUUAAUUUUGAUGUAAACUUUGACUUUCUUAAAAUAAAGGGUAUAUGAAGAUAAGGCACAGUUUUUGACCCAGAGAUGGAUUUCGACGAAAAUCACUCCAAAAAGUGACCCUUGACCCAUCUAGCACAUUUUUUAAUGGUGUGAUGGGCCAUGAUUUGUUUUUUUAAAUUUAUUUUCGAGUUUUUCGCUAGGUGUUGAUACAAAUUUCACAUUUAUUUUUAUGUUGACUCCUAAAGGUGAGAGAAAGCCCAAGAAACGUUUCAAAAUUUUUGGACUAUUUUUCACGAAAUUGUGGCAUUUUUAAAAUUUUGAGCGGCCAUUUUGUAGUAUCGGUAUAUUGGUCCCAUAUGGACGCAUUUUAUGUGGAAAAAUGACAACUGUACCUCCGCAACUUCUUCACAAAGUGGCCGCUCAAAAUUUUAAAAACGCCACAAUUUGGUGAAAAAUGGUCCAAAAAUUUUGAAAAAAUUUCAUGGGCUUUCCCUCACCCUUUUUUAAAAAACAAAUUAUGGCCCCUCCCUCCUGGAAAAAUGCGCUGGAGGCCUAAAAAUUUCGUCCUCGUAUGUAUUUACUCAUCAUGGGUCUUUGGAGUGAGCUUCGUCAAAAUCCAUAUCUGAGCAAAAAACUGUGCCCAUCCUCCUAUACCCACAUUUUUGAAUUGUAAUGUAAGUUGUGGUUUGUAUGCAAUCAAAACUUUUUCUACAAAGGUAUAUUCAAUUCUAUGUAUGUACAUUGAUAUUUUAGAAUAAUUUAUUUAAAACAACAUGUUGAAUAAAUAAUUUUUUUG